rnacentral:rRNA from 1 species
AACGAACGCUGGCGGCAGGCUUAACACAUGCAAGUCGAGCGCCCCGCAAGGGGAGCGGCAGACGGGUGAGUAACGCGUGGGAAUCUACCCAUCUCUACGGAAUAACGCAUGGAAACGUGUGCUAAUACCGUAUACGUCCUUCGGGAGAAAGGUUUAUCGGAGAUGGAUGAGCCCGCGUUGGAUUAGCUAGUUGGUGGGGUAAAGGCCUACCAAGGCGACGAUCCAUAGCUGGUCUGGGAGGAUGAUCAGCCACACUGGGACUGAGACACGGCCCAGACUCCUACGGGAGGCAGCAGUGGGGAAUAUUGGACAAUGGGCGCAAGCCUGAUCCAGCCAUGCCGCGUGAGUGAUGAAGGCCCUAGGGUUGUAAAGCUCUUUCACCGGUGAAGAUAAUGACGGUAACCGGAGAAGAAGCCCCGGCUAACUUCGUGCCAGCCGCCGCAGUAAUAC